UACAGAGACUGCAAGCGUUUAUUCGGAUUCACUGGGCGUUAAAGGGUGCGCAGGCGGUUGGGUGUGUCAGAUGUGAAAUCCCGAGGCUUAACCUCGGAACUGCGUCUGAAACUACUCGACUAGAGUAUUGGAGAGGGUAACGGAAGUUCACGGUGUAGCAGUGAAAUGCGUAGAUAUCGUGAGGAACACCAGAGGCGAAGGCGGUUACCUGGACAAUUACUGACGCUCAGGCACGAAAGCAUGGGGAGCAAAAGGG
rnacentral:rRNA from 1 species